rnacentral:rRNA from 1 species
CUACGGGGGGCAGCAGUGAGGAAUUUUGCGCAAUGGGGGAAACCCUGACGCAGCAACGCCGCGUGAGCGAAGAAGGCCCUCGGGUCGUAAAGCUCUGUCAAGUGGGAAAAAAGCCUUUUGAUCAAUACCCAAAAGGUUUGAUGGUACCACUGGAGGAAGCACCGGCUAACUCCGUGCCAGCAGCCGCGGUAAUACGGAGGGUGCAAGCGUUGUUCGGAAUUACUGGGCGUAAAGGGCGUGCAGGCGGUUUGGCAAGUCAGAUGUGAAAGCCCUGGGCUUAACCCGGGAAGUGCAUUUGAAACUGCCUUUCUUGAGUAUGGGAGAGGAGAGUGGAAUUCCCAGUGUAGAGGUGAAAUUCGUAGAUAUUGGGAGGAACACCCGUGGCGAAGGCGACUCUCUGGACCAAUACUGACGCUGAGACGCGAAAGCGUGGGGAGCAAACAGGAUUAGAUACCCGUGUAGUC